ACCCUACGGGAGGCAGCAGUGGGGAAUAUUGCACAAUGGGGGAAACCCUGAUGCAGCGACGCCGCGUGAGUGAAGAAGUAUUUCGGUAUGUAAAGCUCUAUCAGCAGGGAAGAAAAUGACGGUACCUGACUAAGAAGCCCCGGCUAACUACGUGCCAGCAGCCGCGGUAAUACGUAGGGGGCAAGCGUUAUCCGGAUUUACUGGGUGUAAAGGGAGCGUAGACGGUGUGGCAAGUCUGAAGUGAAAGCCCGGGGCUCAACCCCGAGACUGCUUUGGAAACUGUCAUGCUGG
rnacentral:rRNA from 1 species